rnacentral:piRNA from 1 species
UAGAAGAUAAAAUUGUGAGA